GAUCAUUUUUUCAUUUCACAUUUGGUAACCAGAUUAUAGCAAAUAGUAAUUUAUGGUAAUGAACAUUAAAUAUUAAUGCUUGAUUAUCUCUCUUACGAAGUUAAAAGGUCACAGUCAUUAGGUUUUUGAUGUCUGCGUUCAGGUAGCAUAAUUCCUCUGCAGUUUGGUAACUAAUUAGGAAAAUCGCCGACGUUUAUCUUUAUUUUGUUAAAAAUACCCCAUUAUCUAUAUGAAGUUAUCAUUUUUGUUAAAUAUUAAGAUAAGUUUCGGGGAUUUGUUGACUUGUGUUUCAUAUUGUUUUUUUUUCAUUAUUUUAUCAGUGCACAUUGGUACCUCUAUCUCAUCAAGCUAAAUUUAAUCUGUAGAGGAAUUUAUUUAUUCUCGCCUACUCACUUUUUUGCACAGUAAAAAAGAGGCCGUUGAUGUAUAGGAAUCUUAAAAGUAAUUGCUUAAUCUUAAGAAUGUAAGCCUUCUUUGAUUAUUAGUGUUUACUAUUCCAAUAUUUUAAAUUGAUGCUUAAUCAUCGUUUGUAAAACCUGGAAUUAAUCAGUUCUAUCCGAGGUUCUAUCAAAGCUUACUGUAAACAUUACAUUUUCUAACCAUCUUGCAGCAAUGAAUAAAAAGUAAAGAAUUUGAAUAAAAAAUUAAUUAAAAGGAUCUACAACCCUUGACUGCACCUUUUCUUCCAGUUCGUUAACCGCAUAAGUAGAGUUGCAAGUGUAAUAAUUCAUAAUUCAUAAAAACUUUUGGGGUGCUGAAAAGAGACAAGCAUAGUUGCAUAGUUGACUUUUAUUGGUCUUAAAUCUAACAUUGCACUUUAAAAUCCAAACCUCCAACACUGAAACAAGUUGUAGCUUUAAAAUAAAACAGUAGGUAUGUUUUAUAAUAACAAAGUACAAAGUUCUAUUUUAUAUUGUAGGUAUAUACCUAGUGAUCCGCACCUUUUUUGUUGUAAAAUAUGUUUCCUGAUGAAUAAAUGAUUUUGAUUUGAACCUAUAUUUUUUGCAUUAACAUAUAAACAUGUUUUCAACAAUUUUCCCUUGAUAUUUCUGUUGAAAAUAUAAUACAACAUAAUAGCAACGUUGAAAAACAGUAGUGUAGCGUAGUUAUGGUGAAUGUUGUAGUUACUCUAAUAAUUUAGAAUUUUCCUGUAAGAAACUUCACUGUCGUCACAUAUUACUAUUUUUAGUAUAUCUUUGAUAAUUUGCUUUCCUUGUGGGUGUUUCACCGUAACUCUGCAUGAUUAUUACAACAAUUUCCAAUGUAAAGCUUUUUUAUUUUAAUGAUUUAAUAGUUUUUAUAAUAUUGAAUUGUGAGGUGUGAAUUACACUUACACUCAUCAAAAUAAGUGGCAAAUUACAUUAACAUUAAUAAUGAUACUAUAUAACAGACAGGUAAAAACAGUAAAAACGCCAACUAUUAUACUUGCAUAAUCUACUACCAGUCACAAACUCUUUAAAAGAAUAAAAUGCGCUACAUAGAAGACAAUUUUUAUGUGUCUAAAAUAUGGGGUAGUCUAAAACCCUUAUAUCGAAGGAAAUGCAGUUGUAUAAAUAUUUGGAUUGGUACUGUACUCCUUGUGAUUUGGACAAUCUGCAUAGAUCAGUACGAAUAUGGAUUUUCUUUCUUGUGUGACGAUUAUGUAUGUCAAGUUGUACUAUGUAAACACACACAUUUCGUUUGGAAUAGCUUAGAGCUUCAAAAAUAUAGAUGCAAGGAAAUGUUACGAUUCUGAGAUCGAUAAAUGCUUGACGACAAUUGUCUCUAUAACAUAAAGAACCCGAACCGCUCUACGUUGUAGUUUGAACACGUAUUGUCAAUGAGAACCAUGUCCCCAAGGGAGGAUGGCAUAUGAGAGAGAUUUAUGCAUAAAUAGUAGAGUUCCUGCGCGCGCAAAAGAACACACAACACUCCUUCAAGAUAACAAAGAUAGAUAUUUAAAAAAAAGUUAAUGCUUGUAAUGAAGGACAACGUACUACAUGUCCAAAAUUAAGUGCACACAUGCGUAGGUUUAUCAGUAAGAAGCAAUCUGCGAUGAAAAUACUCACAUAGUUCAUUUCCGCCGCGCUCAAGAAUACGCAAAAAAAUU